CCAUUCUACUGCGAUGACCAGUGAUGACAGCGGCUCGCUCUGGACCCAGAUGAGCUCCAACCAGCCAUGAAUCUGCCGUCCCCGGUUGAUCCAGUACACAGCCACUUGGUCCGUUGCUGCUUGACAGUCGUCUCGCCAAAGUGUCACGCCAACCACGACCCUCUCCUCCUCCAGCCUCGGACCCAGAGAUGUAUAAAAGCCCAGACAGAGAAAUGGAACGGCGGUGACAGAGGCAGAGAAACAUAGAAGUGUGCUGCCGACUGACAGAAACCCCCACUGGCUGCAGAAUGGGAUAGUUUGGGACA